rfam:Nomascus leucogenys chromosome 6, whole genome shotgun sequence.
GCCAGGCUUGGUGGUGCACACCUGUAAUCCCAGCUACUUGGGAGGCUGAGGUGGGAGGAUUGCUUGAGCCCGGGAGUUGGAGGUUGCAGUGAGCCAUAAUAAUGCCACUGCACUCCAGCAUGGGCUACAGAGUGAGAUCCCGUCUCAA